CGGACGGGUGAGUAACGCGUGGGUAACCUGCCUUGUACAGGGGAGUAACAGUUGGAAACGGCUGCUAAUACCGCAUAAGCGCACGGCAUCGCAUGAUGCAGUAGUGAAAAACUCCGGUGGUAUAAGAUGGACCCGCGUUGGAUUAGCUAGUUGGUGAGGUAACGGCCCACCAAGGCGACGAUCCAUAGCCGACCUGAGAGGGUGACCGGCCACAUUGGGACUGAGACACGGCCCAG
rnacentral:rRNA from 1 species